UUUGACAUAAUGAUAAAGUGCUAUUUGGGAUAAUGACAAAGUGUAGGAGAAUAAUUGAUGUAAUUUUUUAUGCAUGGGUAAUUAAGACAAGCGCAAAAGUGUAGAGGGGCUUUUCAUAAUUUAGCCUUGCAUUUAUGGUCCUUAAAUUUUAAUUUGUAGCAAUUUAUAUUUACAAGUGAUGUGGCAAUGUUAUUGUUGAUGAUACGACAAUGAUUAAAAUGCUAUGUCACUUCAACAUCAUUAAAAUGUUAAUAUUUAGUCAACUAAAUUAAGUUGUAGAAUUUGAUUACAACAAUUUAAAAACUUUGAACUAAAAAAUAGUAAAAAAACUAAAGUUUGAAGAUCAAAGCGUCACACACCUUAUAGUUUUAGGACCAAAAGUGUAAUUUACCCUUGUUAUAAUUUUUGGCUUAAAUAUUUUGGAUUAUUAAAUUAAGUUUUAUAAUAUAGUUUAUUUGAUUAAAUAGUGAUAUAAAAUUCAUGUGGCAAUGCGAUAGCAGUAUCGUAAUUGAUGUUGUGAAAAUAAUUAACAUGUUAUAUGACCGUGACAUCCACGAUACAUUAUUAUUCAAGCAAUAAAAUUACAUUGUAUGACUUAAUUACAAUGAUAUAAAAUUUUAGUCAAAAAUUAUAAAAAUUAAAAUUU
rnacentral:lncRNA from 1 species